GACGAACGCUGGCGGCGUGCUUUAUACAUGCAAGUCGAACGAGAAGUUACCUUCGGGUAACGGAAAGUGGCGGACGGGUGAGUAAUACGUAGGGAAUCUGCCCUAAAGCGGGGGACAACAGAGGGAAACUUCUGCUAAUACCCCAUAUGAGCCUGAUUGAAAUAUCAGUCUUGAAAACUCCGGUGCUUUAGGAUGAGCCUGCGGCUGAUUAGCUUGUUGGCGGGGUAAAUGCCCACCAAGGCGACGAUCAGUAGCUGGUUUGAGAGGAUGAUCAGCCACAAUGGGACUGAGACACGGCCCAU
rnacentral:rRNA from 1 species